rnacentral:rRNA from 1 species
ACGGAAGGCAGCAGUGGGGAAUAUUGCACAAUGGGGGAAACCCUGAUGCAGCGACGCCGCGUGAGUGAAGAAGUUAUUCGUAAUGUAAAGCUCUAUCAGCAGGGAAGAAAAUGACGGUACCUGACUAAGAAGCCCCGGCUAACUACGUGCCAGCAGCCGCGGUAAUACGUAGGGGGCAAGCGUUAUCCGGAUUUACUGGGUGUAAAGGGAGCGUAGACGGUCUAGCAAGUCUGAUGUGAAAGGCGGGGGCUCAACUCCUGGACUGCAUUGGAAACUGUUAGUCUUGAGUGUCGGAGAGGUAAGCGGAAUUCCUAGUGUAGCGGUGAAAUGCGUAGAUAUUAGGAGGAACACCAGUGGCGAAGGCGGCUUACUGGACGAUAACUGACGUUGAGGCUCGAAAGCGUGGGGAGCAAACAGGAUUAGAUACCCUGGUA